GCGGGAGUGGCUCAGUGGUAGAGCGCUUCCUUGCCAAGGAAGAUGUCGCGGGUUCGAAUCCCGUCUCCCGCU
rnacentral:tRNA from 2 species